ensembl:lncRNA
GUCCUGUGUGGAGCGCGGGGCGGGGCGCUGCUCUCCUGCGCGCGCUCAACAGGGAAUAAGCAGCCGCAUCUAGAUAGAGACGGCUUCGUCACGUGCCUUUCUUUCUUCUUUUUUCCCCCCCACCAAAUUACCAAAGUUUGGUGGACCUUUGGCCCUCACUGUGGAUGCGUGUUGUCCACUGUGAAUAACGCGUGGAAUAACGUGGAGAGCGCGCGAUGAGGUCAGUGGGCUGAAGCCCCGACAGGUGGAUUUGAGAUAUAUUUCAUUAAGGAAGACAGCAGGCGGAACAAGACGUCUUGAAGGAGGAGAGGAAGAUUUUCCCCGGUUGCAUGUGGGGCUCAGCGGACCAGUGUCCAGCUUGCCCACCCCCCACUCAAAGACCAACGCUAUUAGAGUCACUGAGGCUGCUUGACACAGAUAUGGAGAUAGAAAUAGCAACGGGGGGGACAGUCUGCCAGUUGCACAGGCCCAUGCGAGCACACACAGCAGAAGGCGAGCGGGACAGACGGUUAACAAAAAGCACGCGCGUAUUCCACAGAGAACCAAUUGAGCACAAACCUCGCUGUGUUUUCAGUCUCUCUCGCAGCCACGCAAGAAUGUAUGAUGUCAGGAAAGUGUGCAGCUCCCAGGGACAGUCGCCGUGGAUCAUUUACAGGCCGAAUGGCAAACAACAUGUGGAUGGUGAGCAUAAGCUCAUCCCGGAUAGCUGCUGUUUGGACACCAGAGCUUCCCGCUGAUAACUGCGCCAGUUUGCUCUUGAUGACAUUAACGACCAGACACCCUGUUGCAUGAGCAGUAAAAAAGCUUUGGGUAUGAUGCAUGUGCGCGCCCUUUUCCUCUGCAGUCCCCUUGAUGUGUUUAUUACAUUCACUUCAGUGCAGGGAAGGCCUUUGGCUGCAGAGCGACCGAAGGCUGGGGGUCCAUUACUUUUCACACAAAACUCUCCAUUGUUCCUCUCGCAAGUCCUACCACAGGGCAUUGUGGAAAGAACAGGGCAGGGGGGCGUGCGGGAGGGGGGGGUGUCCGAUUUCUCCAGAGAGGAUGGAGCGUUCGCUGUUUCCUGUUUUGCGCUCUCCGCUGGUGGAAGCUCUUCCUGUUCGGGAGCAGGAGGUCACCCAGAGGAACAAACGGCGCUGCCGUACAGGAUGCCGUCUCGUUCCCGGUCAUACGGUGCACAUUGUGUCCUGCAG